AUCCAGUUGACGAGUCCCAAAUAGGACGAAGUGGUGAACGUCGUGGAU
rfam:Schistosoma mattheei strain Denwood, Zambia genome assembly, scaffold: SMTD_scaffold0012387